GAAAAGUUACCACAGGGAUACCUAGCUUGUGGCUGCCACACGUUCAUAGCGACAUUGCUUUUUGAUCCUUCGAUGUCGGCGCUUCCUAUCAUUGAGUCGCAGGAGUCCCAAAGUGUCGGAUUGCUCGCCCUCCAAUAGGGAACGUGAGCUGGGUUUAGACCGCCGUGAGACAGGUUAGUUUUACCCUACUGGCAAGUUAACGUUGUAACAGUAAUCGAGGUCAGUACGAGAGGAACGCUUCGCUCAGAUACAUGGUAAAUUCAAUUAGUUGAGCAGCUAUAGUUGCGAUGCUAUCAUCUGUUGGAUUAUGGCUGAACGCCUCUAAAUCAUAAUCCAUUCUGGCUACACAAUGUUCCAACCACCCCAAGUUUCACAUGUCAUACUUUAGGUUGCCUGUUUGCAUGUGUUCCUGCAGAAGGACUGUGAACAUGGAGGUUUCGCCCGCUGCGCGGGUGCAGCGUUCACGCGUGACAGAAGAGACGUUUGGUGUAGCACCGGGGUGGGGCAGAGACGGCCUGUACGUUGGAAGGGCUGCGAACAUGGAGGUUGCACCCGCUGCGUUGGGGAAACGCUCGCGCGUGAC
rnacentral:rRNA from 1 species